rnacentral:rRNA from 1 species
UUCCAGCUCCAAUAGCGUAUAUUAAAGUUGUUGCAGUUAAAAAGCUCGUAGUUGGAUUUCUGGGCUGAGCGACCGGUCCGCCGCUGUGCGGUGUGUACUCGUGUUCGACUCGGCUCAUCCUUGUGAGGAAACGCAUUUCGGCAUUAGGUUGUCGAGGCGGGGAACCGCAUCGUUUACUGUGAAAAAAUUAGAGUGUUUAAAGCAGGCAAAUUGCUGUGAAUACAUUAGCAUGGAAUAAUAACAUAGGACUUUGGUUCUAUUUUGUUGGUUGGAGGCCAAGGUAAUGAUUAAUAGGGAUAGUUGGGGGUAUUCAUAUUUAAUUGUCAGAGGUGAAAUUCUUGGAUUUAUGAAAGAUGAACUCAUGCGAAAGCAUUUACCAAGGAUGUUUUCAUCA